UCCUACGGGGGGCAGCAGUAGGGAAUUUUCGUCAAUGGGCGCAAGCCUGAACGAGCAAUGCCGCGUGAACGAGGAAGGUCUUCGGAUCGUAAAGUUCUGCUGAAGGGGAAAAAGAGCGGAGAGAGGAAAUGGUCUCCGAUUGAUAUUACCCUUCGGGGAAGUCACGGCUAACUACGUGCCAGCAGCCGCGGUAAUACGUAGGUGGCGAGCGUUAUCCGGAAUGAUUGGGCGUAAAGGGUGCGUAGGCGGCCUGCUAAGUCUGGAGUGAAAGGUACCGGCUCAACCGGUACAGGCACUGGAAACUG
rnacentral:rRNA from 1 species